GACCGAUAGUGAACCAGUACCGUGAGGGAAAGGCGAAAAGAACCCCGGCGAGGGGAGUGAAAAAGAACCUGAAACCGUGUACGUACAAGCAGUGGGAGCCCCACCACCAAAGCAUUCUCUGGUGUUGAAGGCCCUGCAAAGCAGCAUCGCGGUGGCGGAGCGUCGUUUGCGACGCCCAACACACAAAACAAGCGGUGAGUGCUUUGGGGUGGGGUGACUGCGUACCUUUUGUAUAAUGGGUCAGCGACUUAUAUUCUGUAGCAAGGUUAACCGAAUAGGGGAGCCGGAGGGAAACCGAGUCUUAAUUGGGCGUUAAGUUGCAGGGUAUAGACCCGAAACCCGGUGAUCUAGCCAUGGGCAGGUUGAAGGUUGGGUAACACUAACUGGAGGACCGAACCGACUAAUGUUGAAAAAUUAGCGGAUGACCUGUGGCUGGGGGUGAAAGGCCAAUCAAACCGGGAGAUAGCUGGUUCUCCCCGAAAGCUAUUUAGGUAGCGCCUCGUGAAUUCAUCUCCGGGGGUAGAGCACUGUUUCGGCUAGGGGGCCAUCCCGGCUUACCAACCCGAUGCAAACUGCGAAUACCGGAGAAUGUUAUCACGGGAGACACACGGCGGGUGCUAACGUCCGUCGUGAAGAGGGAAACAACCCAGACCGCCAGCUAAGGUCCCAAAGUCAUGGUUAAGUGGGAAACGAUGUGGGAAGGCCCAGACAGCCAGGAUGUUGGCUUAGAAGCAGCCAUCAUUUAAAGAAAGCGUAAUAGCUCACUGGUCGAGUCGGCCUGCGCGGAAGAUGUAACGGGGCUAAACCAUGCACCGAAGCUGCGGCAGCGAACGUAUCACUUAAAGCGAUUCAGCGGGUUACGAUUGACGGAGCGAAGCGACGUCAAAGCGUAUACAAAGUCGAGUCGGUUUAAGGAUACGUUCGUUGGGUAGGGGAGCGUUCUGUAAGCCUGUGAAGGUGUGUCGUGAGGCAUGCUGGAGGUAUCAGAAGUGCGAAUGCUGACAUAAGUAACGAUAAAGCGGGUGAAAAGCCCGCUCGCCGGAAGACCAAGGGUUCCUGUCCAACGUUAAUCGGGGCAGGGUGAGUCGACCCCUAAGGCGAGGCCGAAAGGCGUAGUCGAUGGGAAACGGGUUAAUAUUCCCGUACUUGGUGUUACUGCGAAGGGGGGACGGAGAAGGCUAUGUUGGCCGGGCGACGGUUGUCCCGGUUUAAGCGUGUAGGUGUGUGUUCCAGGUAAAUCCGGUUCACUUUAACACUGAGGCGUGAUGACGAGGCACUACGGUGCUGAAGCAACAAAUGCCCUGCUUCCAGGAAAAGCCUCUAAGCAUCAGGUAACAUCAAAUCGUACCCCAAACCGACACAGGUGGUCAGGUAGAGAAUACCAAGGCGCUUGAGAGAACUCGGGUGAAGGAACUAGGCAAAAUGGUGCCGUAACUUCGGGAGAAGGCACGCUGACAUGUAGGUGAAGUGAUUUACUCAUGGAGCUGAAGUCAGUCGAAGAUACCAGCUGGCUGCAACUGUUUAUUAAAAACACAGCACUGUGCAAACACGAAAGUGGACGUAUACGGUGUGACGCCUGCCCGGUGCCGGAAGGUUAAUUGAUGGGGUCAGCGCAAGCGAAGCUCCUGAUCGAAGCCCCGGUAAACGGCGGCCGUAACUAUAACGGUCCUAAGGUAGCGAAAUUCCUUGUCGGGUAAGUUCCGACCUGCACGAAUGGCGUAAUGAUGGCCAGGCUGUCUCCACCCGAGACUCAGUGAAAUUGAACUCGCUGUGAAGAUGCAGUGUACCCGCGGCAAGACGGAAAGACCCCGUGAACCUUUACUAUAGCUUGACACUGAACAUUGAGCCUUGAUGUGUAGGAUAGGUGGGAGGCUUUGAAGCGUGGACGCCAGUCUGCGUGGAGCCGACCUUGAAAUACCACCCUUUAAUGUUUGAUGUUCUAACGUGGACCCGUAAUCCGGGUUGCGGACAGUGUCUGGUGGGUAGUUUGACUGGGGCGGUCUCCUCCUAAAGAGUAACGGAGGAGCACGAAGGUUGGCUAAUCCUGGUCGGACAUCAGGAGGUUAGUGCAAUGGCAUAAGCCAGCUUGACUGCGAGCGUGACGGCGCGAGCAGGUGCGAAAGCAGGUCAUAGUGAUCCGGUGGUUCUGAAUGGAAGGGCCAUCGCUCAACGGAUAAAAGGUACUCCGGGGAUAACAGGCUGAUACCGCCCAAGAGUUCAUAUCGACGGCGGUGUUUGGCACCUCGAUGUCGGCUCAUCACAUCCUGGGGCUGAAGUAGGUCCCAAGGGUAUGGCUGUUCGCCAUUUAAAGUGGUACGCGAGCUGGGUUUAGAACGUCGUGAGACAGUUCGGUCCCUAUCUGCCGUGGGCGCUGGAGAACUGAGGGGGGCUGCUCCUAGUACGAGAGGACCGGAGUGGACGCAUCACUGGUGUUCGGGUUGUCAUGCCAAUGGCACUGCCCGGUAGCUAAAUGCGGAAGAGAUAAGUGCUGAAAGCAUCUAAGCACGAAACUUGCCCCGAGAUGAGUUCUCCCUGAGACUU
rnacentral:rRNA from 1 species